AACGAACGCUGGCGGCAUGCCUAACACAUGCAAGUCGAACGAGACCUUCGGGUCUAGUGGCGCACGGGUGCGUAACGCGUGGGAACCUGCCCUUAGGUUCGGAAUAACUCCCCGAAAGGGGUGCUAAUACCGGAUAAUGUCUUCGGACCAAAGAUUUAUCGCCUUUGGAUGGGCCCGCGUUGGAUUAGCUAGUUGGUAGGGUAAAAGCCUACCAAGGCGACGAUCCAUAGCUGGUCUGAGAGGAUGAUCAGCCACACUGGGACUGAGACACGGCCCAGACUCCUACGGGAAGCAGCAGUGGGGAAUAUUGGACAAUGGGCGAAAGCCUGAUCCAGCAAUGCCGCGUGAGUGAUGAAGGCCUUAGGGUUGUAAAGCUCUUUUACCCGGGAUGAUAAUGACAGUACCGGGAGAAAAAGCUCCGGCUAACUCCGUG
rnacentral:rRNA from 1 species